rnacentral:rRNA from 1 species
GACGAACGCUGGCGGCGUGCUUAACACAUGCAAGUCGAACGAUGAACCGGAGCUUGCUCUGGGGAUUAGUGGCGAACGGGUGAGUAACACGUGGGCAACCUGCCCCAGACACCGGGAUAACCAUUGGAAACGAUGGCUAAUACCGGAUACGACCACUUCGGGCAUCCGAUGGUGGUGGAAAGGAUUCUGGUCUGGGAUGGGCCCGCGGCCUAUCAGCUUGUUGGUGGGGUAAUGGCCUACCAAGGCGACGACGGGUAGCCGGCCUGAGAGGGCGACCGGCCACACUGGGACUGAGACACGGCACAGACUCCUACGGGGGGCAGCGGUGGGGAAUAUUGCGCAAUGGGCGAAAGCCUGACGCAGCAACGCCGCGUGAGGGACGAAGGUCUUCGGAUUGUAAACCUCUUUCAGCAGGGAUGAAGCGAAAGUGACAGUACCUGCAGAAGAAGCACCGGCUAACUACGUGCCAGCCGCCGCCGUAACAC